rnacentral:rRNA from 1 species
GGACCCGCACAAGCAGCGGAGCAUGUGGUUUAAUUCGAAGAUACGCGAAGAACCUUACCCAGACUUGACAUCCUUCUGAAAGCUUCCUUAAUCGGAAGCCUCCUUCGGGCAGAAGUGACAGAUGGUGCAUGGUUGUCGUCAGCUCGUGUCGUGAGAUGUUGGGUUAAGUCCCGCAACGAGCGCAACCCUUGUCCUUAGUUGGCAUCAGUUCGGCUGGCAACUCUAAGGAGACUGCCGGGGAUAACCCGGAGGAAGGCGAGGAUGACGUCAAAUCAUCAUGCCUCUUACGUCUGGGGCUACACACGUGCUACAAUGGUCGUUACAAAAUGUUGCGAACUCGCGAGGGUAAGCAAAUCAUAAAGACGAUCUCAGUUCGGAUUGUAGGCUGAAACUCGCCUGCAUGAAGUCGGAGUUGCUAGUAAUCCUAAAUCAGAAUGUUA